UACCAGCACCCCGAGUGGUCGGGACGUUUUAUUGGGCCUAAAGCAUCCGUAGCCGGUUCUACAAGUCUUCCGUUAAAUCCACCUGCUUAACAGAUGGGCUACGGAAGAUACUAUAGAGCUAGGAGGCGGGAGAGGCAAGCGGUACUCGAUGGGUAGGGGUAAAAUCCGUUGAUCCAUUGAAGACCACCAGUGGCGAAGGCGGCUUGCCAGAACGCGCUCGACGGUGAGGGAUGAAAGCUGGGGGAGCAAACCGG
rnacentral:rRNA from 1 species